rnacentral:rRNA from 1 species
CUACNGGGUGGCUGCAGUAGGGAAUCUUCCGCAAUGGACGAAAGUCUGACGGAGCAACGCCGCGUGAGUGAUGAAGGCUUUCGGGUCGUAAAACUCUGUUGUUAGGGAAGAACAAGUACAAGAGUAACUGCUUGUACCUUGACGGUACCUAACCAGAAAGCCACGGCUAACUACGUGCCAGCAGCCGCGGUAAUACGUAGGUGGCAAGCGUUAUCCGGAAUUAUUGGGCGUAAAGCGCGCGCAGGCGGUUUCUUAAGUCUGAUGUGAAAGCCCACGGCUCAACCGUGGAGGGUCAUUGGAAACUGGGGAACUUGAGUGCAGAAGAGAAAAGCGGAAUUCCACGUGUAGCGGUGAAAUGCGUAGAGAUGUGGAGGAACACCAGUGGCGAAGGCGGCUUUUUGGUCUGUAACUGACGCUGAGGCGCGAAAGCGUGGGGAGCAAACAGGAUUAGAUACCCUAGGUAGUCA